AUGCAUCGCCGUCUUCUACUUCUGUUUCCUCUUCAAUGUUCAUUCAAUUCCAUUAACCUCUUCUCUGAUCAACUCAAAUUGAAACGAUCGUCUUCUUCGAAUGUGAACCGCGUUGUCUGCUUCUUUGUUCAAUCUUCUUCGCAGAUUUCCACCGUCGAUCCUCUCAAAUCCCAAAUCGCAACGGCGGCUAUCUUAACCUCCUAA